CCUACGGGUGGCAGCAGUGGGGAAUAUUGGACAAUGGGCGAAAGCCUGAUCCAGCCAUGCCGCGUGUGUGAAGAAGGUCUUCGGGUUGUAAAGCACUUUCAGUGGGGAAGAAAGCCUUGGGGCUAAUACCCUCGAGGAAGGACAUCACCCACAGAAGAAGCACCGGCUAACUCCGUGCCAGCAGCCGCGGUAAUACGGAGGGUGCGAGCGUUAAUCGGAAUUACUGGGCGUAAAGCGCGCGUAGGCGGUCUGAUAAGCCGGUUGUGAAAGCCCCGGGCUCAACCUGGGAACGGCAUCCGGAACUGUCAGGCUAGAGUGCAGGAGAGGAAGGUAGAAUUCCCGGUGUAGCGGUGAAAUGCGUAGAGAUCGGGAGGAAUACCAGUGGCGAAGGCGGCCUUCUGGACUGACACUGACGCUGAGGAGCGAAAGCGUGGGUAGCAAACAGGAUUAGAUACCCUAGUAGUC
rnacentral:rRNA from 1 species